rnacentral:lncRNA from 1 species
GACAUUAUUAUUGGCGAUGUUGCAUUUUCUACUUCCUUUAAUAGAAAGUGUGCAGCGUUUAAGCUCAGAGCUUAGUCGUCGUUUCGUUCUUUCCGUUUAUGCUCUUCUGUUGUCAUGUCACAGCAUGAGUUUAAAGUUGUAUCUUUACAAUGUAGGGAGGGUGGAGCUUUGAUCAAAGCAAGGACAGAGAGGAAGAGGAAGCUGUGGGGCCAGUAGUUAAUCUCGCCUCAUUUUUUAGAAACUUGCAUCUUGUUCUUCUCAACUUUUUAUUAUGAUCUGCGUGUGUGUCCUGUGGCUGGUACUUUGUGAGUAUUCUCUGACUGUCGGGGUGAAGAGUCUCAGACAAACAGGAUACGUUGGACAAAAUGUAACAUUUCAGUGCUCAGACUGGGAGGGUUACACUUGGAGUGAUGUAACAUCUUACGUUAAGUACAUUAGUACAGAGAACAAGCAUGAGAUCAUGAGAGUAAAACCUGGAGACAUUAAUCAAAAGGACAGAAUAUCUUUAUACAACAAUGGAGGAACUUUGUCUGUGACCUUCACUGAUGUCCAGAAGUCAGACUCUGGGACUUAUUACUGUGGACUGGAUAGGUGGAGACAUGACAUAUAUAUACAGGUGAUCCUUCACGUUAUAGAUGCAGUGACUCCUGGUCCACAGACAACAGUUAGAACAGUCAGUGUGUGGUCAAGCUCCACUGUGUUUUCAAACAGCAAAAAUAUUACUUCAGAUAUUUCACCAUUGUUCACCACACGUCAGUCAACAGCAGCUGCUGCAUCAGAAGCACAUGGCGAUGAAGGGAAUGGAACAGGAAGUGUCCUGUACUUGAUCAUUGGUUUCACUGUUGUAAUAACUACACUGGUUCUUCUAUUGUGUCUAAUGAUGAAGAUAAAGAAAGAGAGAAAGAAAAAGGUGUCUAAGUCUGGUUCACCAGAAGCCGUCGUACAACAGGAUGCCGACUAUGCUGAAAUCAGACAUGAAGACCACACUGAGAGGGCGUCUGCUGCUGACGUUUACCCAGAGACGCUCUAUGCAAAUUAUUCCAGCCAACAGGACACAGCACAGCAGGACAGGGCUUCACACGAUGCUUCUGCUUCUAGUCCCCACGUCAGACACACAGAUUCCCAGUUUGAAUGUCUUUACUCUGUCGCUCAACUUCCUGAAGAGCGGCCUGAGUGUGAAUCUGCAAUAAAUGACUCAAGAUGCACCAUCUAUAGCGUAGUUAAGCCAGCACAGAUAACAUGAGGACUACUAAUACUACAGAUGAAAAGUGCUACACAAACCUCUGGCACAGUCACACAUGAAGUCUAAUAGUAGGAGGAGAGCAGCCAGCGCAUGCUAGCAAAGUGUUUUCAACAUGUUGCUGUGUUCAGGGGUUAACAAGUCAUUUCAGCUUUUAUUUGUUAUUAUAAUAUAUUAUAUUUGUACGUACGUAAUAAUAUAAAAUAAAUACAUGCUGCAUUUUAUGAACA